rnacentral:rRNA from 1 species
AAUGGGCGAAAGCCUGACGGAGCGACACCGCGUGCAGGAUGAAGGCCCUCGGGUUGUAAACUGCUGUCACGCCAUAGGAAUCCCUGUAGUUAAUAGCUGCAGGGUUGACCAAAGCGAAAGGAAGCACCGGCUAACUCCGUGCCAGCAGCCGCGGUAAGACGGAGGGUGCAAACGUUGUUCGGAGUCACUGGGCAUAAAGCGCACGUAGGCGGCCCACCCAGUCUGAUGUGAAAGCCCUCGGCUCAACCGGGGAACUGCAUUGGAUACUAGUGGGCUCGAGAAUGGUUGGGGUAAGCGGAACUCCAGGUGGAGCGGUGAAAUGCGUAGAUAUCUGGAGGAACACCGGUGGCGAAAGCGGCUUACUGGGCCAUUACUGACGCUGAGGUGCGAAAGCCAGGGUAGCAAACGGGAUU